rnacentral:rRNA from 1 species
ACGCUCGACACCUACUGGAGGCAGCAGUGAGGAAUAUUGGUCAAUGGGCGCUAGCCUGAACCAGCCAAGUAGCGUGAAGGAUGAAGGCUCUAUGGGUCGUAAACUUCUUUUAUAUAAGAAUAAAGUGCAGUAUGUAUACUGUUUUGUAUGUAUUAUAUGAAUAAGGAUCGGCUAACUCCGUGGCAGCAGCCGCGGUAAUCUGAGCGGGCUGGCAAGGC